rnacentral:rRNA from 1 species
UACGUAGGGUGCGAGCGUUGUCCGGAUUUAUUGGGCGUAAAGAGCUCGUAGGCGGUUUGUCGCGUCGGCCGUGAAAUCUCCACGCUUAACGUGGAGCGUGCGGUCGAUACGGGCAGACUUGAGUUCGGUAGGGGAGACUGGAAUUCCUGGUGUAGCGGUGAAAUGCGCAGAUAUCAGGAGGAACACCGGCGGCGAAGGCGGUGCUCUGGGCCAGUAUUGACGCUGAGGAGCGAAAGCGUGGGUAGCAAACAGG